rnacentral:rRNA from 1 species
UACGUAGGGAGCAAGCGUUGUCCGGAAUCAUUGGGCGUAAAGCGCGCGUAGGUGGCUUCGUAAGUCCGUUGUGAAAGUCAAAGGCUCAACCUUUGAAUGCCGAUGGAUACUGCGGAGCUAGAGUACGGAAGAGGCGAGUGGAAUUCCUGGUGUAGCGGUGGAAUGCGCAGAUAUCAGGAGGAACACCAAUAGCGAAGGCAGCUCGCUGGGACGUUACUGACACUAAGGCGCGAAAGCGUGGGGAGCGCACAGG